rfam:Schistosoma curassoni strain Dakar, Senegal genome assembly, scaffold: SCTD_scaffold0000229
AUCUAGUUGAGGAGUUCCAAAUAGGUCGAAACGUUCGUUCUGGAU